CCCCCCUUAGUGGGAGAGUUGCCACCGGAUCCCAUAAGAACUCUGGAGUUAAGUGUGCUCGGGUGGGAGUAGUCCCUGAAUGGGUGACCUCCUUGUGAAGUCCCAUGUGCAUGUGUUGCGAAACACUUGUUGUGCAUGUG